rnacentral:tRNA from 1 species
AUUUAUAUAGUAUAAAAGUAUAUAUGACUUCCAAUCAUAAGGUUUAUUAAUAAUAAUAAUAUAAAUA